UGCACUAUAUAUGGAAUAGGUAGUGCACUAUAUAGGGAAUAGGUAGACUGGUCUCUCUUUGUAGUGUACAGAUAACAGACAUGAGUAAUGUAUCAAACAUAACCCUUUAUCAGGUAGGACAUGAGUAAUGUAUCAAACAUUACCCUUUACCAGGUAGGACAUGAGUAAUGUAUCAAACAUUACCCUUUAUCAGGUAGGACAUGAGUAAUGUAUCAAACAUUACCCUUUACCAGGUAGGACAUGAGUAAUGUAUCAAACAUUACCCUUUAUCAGGUAGGACAUGAGUAAUGUAUCAAACAUUACCCUUUAUCAGGUAGGACAUGAGUAAUGUAUCAAACAUUACCCUUUAUCAGGUAGGACAUGAGUAAUGUAUCAAACAUUACCCUUUAUCAGGUAGGACAUGAGUAAUGUAUCAAACAUUACCCUUUACCAGGUAGGACAUGAGUAAUGUAUCAAACAUUACCCUUUACCAGGUAGGGCAUGAGUAAUGUAUCAAACAUAACCCUUUAUCAGGUAGGACAUGAGUAAUGUAUCAAACAUUACCCUUUACCAGGUAGGACAUGAGUAAUGUAUCAAACAUUACCCUUUAUCAGGUAGGACAUGAGUAAUGUAUCAAACAUUACCCUUUAUCAGGUAGGACAUGAGUAGCACAGCCAUCUUAUCUGUCUGUUAUUCUCAACCUGAUUGACUCAAUGUUAGCCUGGUUCCAGAUCAGUUUGUUAAGUCACCUGACAAUGACCUUAUGUAUUGGCAAGACAGCUCAAACAGAUCUGGGACCUGGCUUAAAUCAAUGUGUCUGUUGUCAUGCUGUAGCCUGGGUUCCACUCCU